AUACGUAGGGUGCAAGCGUUAAUCGGAUUUACUGGGCGUAAAGCGUGCGCAGGCGGUCUUUUAAGAAAGGGGUGAAAUCCCCGGGCUCAACGCGGGAACUGCCAUUGGAACUGGCUGGCUGGAGGGCCGGAGAGGGGGGUGGAAUUCCUGGUGUAUCCGUGAAACGCGUAGAUAUGCGGAGGAAAACCGGUGGAGAAGGCAAUCCCCUGGGCCUGCCCUGGCGCUCAUGCACGAAAGCGUGGGGAGCAAACAGGAUUAGAUACCCUGGUAGUCCACGCCAUAAACGAUGUCAGCUGGUUGUUGGGGAUUUAUUUUCUCAGUAACGAAGCUAACGCGUGAAGUUGACCGCCUGGGGAGUACGGCCGCAAGGUUAAAACUCAAAGGAAUUGACGGGG
rnacentral:rRNA from 1 species